CCCCCAGUGCGCCGCAGCCGCCCCCUCCCCAGCGCCGGCGCACCGCAUCCCUAGCGACCUGCAACCCCGGCGCGUCGCAUCCUGGGCGACCCCAUGCCCCAGCGCGCCCCAUCCCCGGUGCAUCCGAUCCCCAUCCGCCACCGUCUCUCCUCCGGCCCGGCGAGACCAGCACUGCCCUUGACUCUGCAACACAUCUCCGCUCCCAUCGCAUCUCAGGUCAGCACCGUAGGCCUCCCUCCUUCUGUCGUUCCUCCCAGCCCCCUCUUCUCUUCGAGGUGCUCCGCUCGCUGCCUCGUACUUGACCUUCCUGCUCCUCCACCCCUUCACUGCUGCUCCCUCCUGCUGUCCUCACCCACAAGCUAGUCAACUGGAAGAUCUACAUGUCAUCAGUCCAACUUCUUGCCCCGCCGCCGGUCACUCAAAAUGUUCUCUUGUUGAUUUAUGAGGUAUACCACAAGUUCUAUUUUUACAGAAGUUGAACUACAGGAUAUGAAGUUUGAUGGAUGCAGAGGUCGAAGGAGCUCCCUUUAGUUCAAUGGAUGCAACAAAAUAAUCCAUGUUGCCUACUAGAACUUGCGUGUGUGUUGUGGCGUGUGUGCUGGUGCAUGCCUGUUGCCUAAUGCGGCGUGCGAGCAUGUACACAAAUUGAACUGAAUGAUCUCCAGUAAGUGAAAUCAAUGAUCUCCUGUAUCUAAACGACAGGGGAUAUGCAUCAUGUACAAAAAAUGGUAGGAUCUUGAGGUGUUGCUGCUACUUCUUUCUUCUCAUGCCCUACUGUUGCUCCAUUCGAAUCCAUGCUACUUAUAUGAAAAUAAUUGAUGGUCUAGGUGCUUGUUGAAAUGCUUAUGAGAACCAAUUUUUGUUGUUUGGUAUUUGGUAUAAUAGCGCAAAGAAAGGAUGCCCUAUGAUGCCUCUUGCCGAAUAGAUUUAUUAGAAGUUCCAUUUUUCCAGCAAGUGUAUGGUCAGAUUCUCUUGAAAAAUUGUUAUAAAAGACACAAGUGAUGCAGCGGUGCCGCCACACCUCUGGUUUCUCGUUGGUAUAUUUUCCAUAUGAUCUGCAGCAGUUCUUCAGUGUGUGAUUCGACAAAAAGACCAUCAGUUCAACUACUAAAUUACCAAAAUAUUUUUUUGGUUUAGUUCAGUUACUAAGUUUAGUUCAGUACAAUUCUUUUAUAGUUACAGAUUAGUUCAAUAGUUAUAGUUUUGGUUUAAUUUAGGUUAGUUCAAUUACAAGCUGGUGUUUAGUUCCUGAUGUAGUAUUUUUUAGACCAUCCUAUAAUAUUUCCUCUCAAUUUUUGUUAGCAGAUUUGAUGCGUAGAAACAUCAU